rnacentral:rRNA from 1 species
UACGAAGGUGGCAAGCGUUGUUCGGAUUUACUGGGCGUACAGGGAGCGUAGGCGGUUGGAUAAGCCCUCCGUGAAAUCUCCAGGCUUAACCUGGAAAGUGCAGAGGGGACUGUUCAGCUAGAGGAUGGGAGAGGAGCGCGGAAUUCUCGGUGUAGCGGUGAAAUGCGUAGAUAUCGAGAGGAACACCUGCGGCGAAGGCGGGUAGCUGGGCCGGACACUGACGCUGGAGGCGCGAAAGCCAGGGGAGCGAACGGG